AUGUUCCUCCACCACCUCUUGCUGCAAAACAUGGCCAAGAACACACACCAACCAAGAUCGAAAGACGGCAGAGCGAGAGGCCUGUCCAAGAAGUCGCCGUGGUACCAGCGCGCGGUGGAGCUGCUGCUCCUCAUCUGGAAGCAGCCGGCGGGGGCGCCGACGACGACGAAGGCGGCCGCGGCGGCGGGGGUGUCGGCCACCGGCAAGGCUGCGGCGGCGGCGGCGCCGGCCGGGCCGGGGAGGCUGCGCAAGUCGUCGUCGCUGAACGUGGCGGCGUCGUUCACGCGCGUCUGCCUCUGCGCGCCCAUCUCCUCCUACAACGAGCCGUCGCUCUACUUCCAGCCGGGCGACGUGGCGCCGCGCCGCAGCUACAGCUACCCGCGCGCGUCGUCGGCGUCGGCGUCCGGGUGCGGCGCGAACGCCAACGCCAGCCCGCUGGUGGCCCCGCCGCCGGGCGCCGAGCCGCACCGCGGGGCGUCGGGUGGCGGGGAGGCCGCGCGGCGGCCGGUGUUCCGCGGCAAGUCGCUGACGGACGACCACCUGAUGCGGCGGUUCGUGGUGGACGAGGGCGCCACGCGGCGGCGGAACCAGAUGGAGGUGAUCCGGCGGCGGCACGCCACGGCGGCCAAGCGCCGGCGCCUGGGCCCCAGCCCGCUCCGCCGGAUGGUGCUGGCGGAGUCGGAGUCGGAGGGCGACGACGAGGCGGUGGCGGAGACGCAACAGCGGGAGCGGAAGCGGGCGUCGGUAGCGUAG
rnacentral:rRNA from 1 species